GAGAGCCUCAAGAGAUAGACUGGGUGGUAGCCACCCACAAAGGAAGAUAUGAUUUUGGAGCCUGGCCCAAGCCUGAUGAAGAGGAGGGUGGCCUCUGUGCCAUCAGCUCUGCCUGCUGAGGGUUGCAGGAGCCUGAAGUGCACUUCCUGCCCCUGCCUCCUCCCAGCCCGGUUGACUGACCUCUGCCCACCGGAUGUACACCUACAAGUCUGCUGUCUUACCUCUCCUCUCUCAUGUUUCCAUUCUGCAGAAAUUGGCAAAGGGAAGAAGAGCAAAUUGUUGAGGAAAGAGAGGAGAGAUGAAGAUAUCUCUACCUGGCUUUGCUCUUUCGCCUACCUCUCCCCACCUCUCCAGCCAUGGGGUGGGAAAUACACGCAGCCUUGUGAGGAGUCUGUCUCUUCCGCCCGCACAGAAUAAAUCAUAUUCAGAUACCCAUUCCAAUGCAUAAGGAAUAAUACUACCCAAGGACAAAGAAGCACAUGUAUGUGAUUUGGAUGGCAUACAUUGGGCAAAGACAAGAGGUGGCUCCAACUCUUUUAUAGGCACAAUUCUGGUGACAAGAAUGCAGGUCUGUUCCAGACUAGUCUCUAAACUCAGAGUUGGGGUAGGGAAAGGGCAAGAGGCCCAGAAGUAUUGAGAGACUGUGAAAUUAGAGCCUUCUGCCUAGGAUCAGGGAGCUGGUGCAGAGGGGGAUUUUUAAGGACAGAUCUUUAGGGUCAGAUCUUUAGGUUCAGAGCUUGGGGUUGGGAUCCUACCCUUUCAUUUCAUGCUGAAUUUCUGUACAAGGUCAAGAAGCCCUUUAGUUUGGCUCAUGCCAGCGAGGGCUAGGGACACUGCCCAAGUUAAUCUUCUUUCUAGGACUAUGGGUCUUGACAGCUGGUUUGUGGCUUGCCCUGGGGAGGUCAGAGUCAUAUCACAGACAUGGUGCAUCUUCUUGGAGAAUCAGCUUAACUUUUGGAAUUAACUGGUUAUGUGAAUAAAAUCAGCAGCAAAUAUUAUAAUGCCUGUAUGUAAUGAUAGUAGUACCAAUAGGCGUUCCUGGGAUGUUGACUUGUCCAAGGUCCCACAGUGAGAACAGAGCUUGAUAAGAAGCCAUGCAGUGGUGGCUCCCAGGCCCAUCUUCUGUCCAUCAGAAUUUAUAAUCAAAUUUGGAAAUUUAAAAGUUUAAAACAGUUAAUGUAUAUAAAUGGAGCCAUAAGUUAAAUCAAAAGCAAAAUUUAUUUUAUUUUUUGUGGUGCUGGGGGUAGACCCAGGGCUUUGUGCAUGCUAGACAAGUGAUCUACCACUAAGCCACACCCAGUCUAAAAGCAGCUUUUAACAAUUUGAUUGAGGUAAAGAUAAGAUACACAAGAAUAAGUAAGAGCUGGUUGUUUUGUGCCUGUGAUGAUGGCCAGGUUAGCCCAUGACCUGAGGAGGAGGCUCCAAUUUGCUAGCUGUCAGGUUUGGGAAGUACUUCACUUACUGCCUGCAACUCGGAGCAGAGUAGGCCUGCAUCGGACCGCAGGUGCUUACCAGCCAGGUGGUUUCCUGGGGUCCACUCCUGGAACAACAGACAUUUAUGGAGAACUUAUUCUCUGCCAUUAUCUCAUUUAUCCCGCCCCCCCCCCCCCACAAAUCUGUGAGGUCCUCAUUUUAGAAAUAAGGAAAAUGAAACACAGACAGCUUAGGUUGCACUAGGUAACCAGUUAAUCAAUGACAGAAUCAGUCUCCAACCCCGAGUUGGUCUGACUCCAUGUCCAGAACUACAAACCACUACACCAUAUUAUCCUCAUUCCCCAAAAUGAUCUGACUCCCUGGGUCUGGAGCUGGGCUGCAUUCUGUACCUCAGUAAGUACCCCCAGAAGGCCGCUGGACCACACUUUGAGAAGCAAUGCUCUAUAGCAGCAGUUUUCCAUCUGGCUGCAGAUUAGAACCAGAGAUUUCCAAAACUAUUAAAGCCCUUCCCUUCUUUUUCAGUUGGUCCAAAGUAAGGGUGGGAGUGGUGGCAUUUUUUUUUUUAAGUGUGACAAUGUAUUCAUUAAUCCAUUCAAUCUGUCAAAGUAGGUCUGGGUAUCUACUUUGUGUCCUUCCCUGCCCUGGGGCUGCAGAUACAAAGGUAGGUGGGACCUAUGUUUGCUUUCCCUGGACUCAGGUGACUGGCCUGGCUGGGUGGAGUCUGCUGUUGGUGGAGGAGGGGAGGCUGGGUGAGCUCUGGAAAGAGCAAGUUCAUUCCCUUCUCAGAUGCUGCUGCUGCUGCCUGGCUGCCCUCUUUGUAAGGUCUUCAGCCUCACCCUAGAGGACUGUUUGUUUGAAUUC
rnacentral:lncRNA from 1 species